rnacentral:lncRNA from 1 species
AUUUAUUAAAACGAUACUCUUGAGUGUAGACAAAUGGAUUAAUUUGCAACAUUAGCAAACUGGUUCAAUAAAAUUUAAAUUUCUUAUUACAAUGUAGACCAAUAGACUCUGUGCACAAGCGUAGCGACGAACUUCCGCUGUUAACAGAAGUCGGGAUAUCAGUUUCCGGUUUACUUCCUGUCUUCAUCCGCAUCCGUAAACAAACAAGAUGAGUGCUGCUGUAUGAAAAAAUAAAUAUAAUCUACGAAUCACUGCUGUGUGCCACUUUGCUCGGCUUCAGGUCUGUAUAACAGACAUUUGAGCUUCCACCGCUUCCCCAAGAAGACCAGCCUUCGUGUGCAGUGGCUGCACAAAAUAAGGAGGGUGGGAUUUUCGGUGACCCCCCCCACACCAAGGUAUGCAGCCGACAUUUUCAAGAUAAUGAAAUCCACACUACUGCUAAGGGUAGAUGGGUUUUAGCAGCAGGCUCUGUCCCAUCAUUAUUCGAGUGGAAUAGCUACACUACGAAGUCACGGGCCGGUGUUUGGGAACGCCGUUCUCGACCGCCAAGUCCGGGACCUGACUCGGCGGGGCCUGUGGAGCACAUCGGUCAUCCCGUCAUGGUUCCGAUGGUCGUGGACCACGACUACGGGGCCAGCCGUACUGUAUGUGUGGACCGGGAGCAGUAUGAAGAUGCGUUGAGCGAAAUCGAGACGCUGAGAGGGCAGCUCCAAACAUUUCAUCUUCAUCACUCCUUUGGACUUAAACGGUUUGCUUCGUCACCUGAAGACAUCAGAUUUUACACCAGAUUCUUCUCAUACGAGCAUCUGAUGGCGUUUUGAACCUGAUCGAGGCAGCAACAGCCAAAAUAGUUAGUCACCAGGUCAAAGAAAACCGAUGCCACUAGCACAACAACUGAAAGCCCUUUAACCAGACCAACUGUAAGUACCAACAGCCCCCCACACCCCUAAGCAUGAAAAGGAUGGUUUUGAAUUAACACUCAUUAAGCAUGUCUCCCCCAGAAACUGCUACCGAUAGAUUAGCUCUUUCUCUUCCUCACAUACCUAUCCACUGGCUGUACCCAGAGAGAAUUGAGUCACAGAUAUCCACCGAACAACAGUCACCCGAAUCAUCAUUACCUGGGCCAACUUCCUCUACAGCUUAC